rnacentral:sRNA from 1 species
UCCUGCGGCCCCUCCAGGCUGCGUUUCCUCCCAAGGACUUCGGGCCGCCCCUUUCAACAGGGCGGCCUUUUUUCUGCGCGCA